GGGAGCCGAACACCUGCGGCCAAUCAAAGAAGCAAGCGGCGAGCGUACCCCUCCCUGGCGCUGAGGGGACAGGUGUGGCGCGAAGGAGGUGGUAGGCGGCGGUCUCUUCAUGGUGGGGCCGUCCCAUCCAGCUCCCCUCGGACACUGCCGAAGCGUGCCGCUCCCUUGCCGUGCCGCUGUGGCACCUCCGUGCUGGGAGCCGCGGCAGCGCCUGGCAGGAGGCGCGCUCAGACCGGUCAGAUCUGGACAAAAAUCAUUUUUCUUCUCUUCACUCACCCUGCUUGGAGCCUGCACAGCUGACUGACUGAUCCAGAAGGAUACCCACGACAUGGCCACUAGUAAGAUAGAAGGGACGUAGGACUGAAUGAUGUAAACACCUCGGUUUCUUCGAAGGUGGAAGUGGAGACUCAGCCUGGGAAACUGACCUGCUGACAAAAAGUGGAGACAAAGAAAGAUUCCGACCGUGUGAGCAGCAGUUCAACUGAUAUGCAAAAGAACAUUUCCUACAGUGAUGCAGAUCUACAUUCUUAAAUAAAAUUCUUUUGGCCAGGGA
rnacentral:lncRNA from 1 species